AACCUUGGUUUCCCAGUCCCAACUGUGCAGACGAAAAAGUGUUCGCUCUGGCUGAUGCUCCGCACCUCUUAAAAUUAAUCCGGAACCAUUACCUGGACAGUGGCUUAGUUGUGGGAGACGAACAUUUAACCUCCCGAACUUUUACAGAUUUACUUAGCCUGACAUCAACAUCUGAUAUGUCAAUAACUUAUAGAAUUAGCCAUGAACAUCUGGCAGUGAAAGGUAGACAAAAGGUGAAAUUAGCAACACAGCUUUUUUCGCACACAACAGCGAAUGCUAUUAGAAGAUGCUACGCCCCUUGGACCCAGACGGCUGAUUUCAUCCAAGAGGUGAACGAUUGGUUUGACGUACUAAACUCUAGAAUAAGUACAUUUAAAUACCCUGGCAAGGAACCAUAUGGACUUGACUUAUAACGUCAAAGAGAAAAACUGACAAAAAUGAACGAGCUGAUGUCGUCACCAAUCAUUCCGGGUCGGAAAACUCUGGAGCCCUUCCAAAAAGGCAUUAUAAUGACGAAUAAUGCCGUGAUGAUGCUCCAAGAUUAUGUCAAAAUGUAUGACAUGGAGUACAUCGUCACAAAUCGGCUAAAUCAAGACGUUCUCGAGCAUUUCUUUGUCGCCAUUAGAAGUAAAGGGGGUUUAAAUGACCACCCUUCGCCAAUGGAUUUCAAAUAUAGAAUGCGAAAGUAUAUCCUGGCAAGAAACACCGAACACCUAAAUGGGACAGGUAAUGUUGAAGCUGAUGAUACCAAUUGGCUGGAUUCUUCCAUGGAGUUAAAAGCUUCAAAAGUGGUUGAAGAGAUUCCUGCAGCCCCGGAAGAUAUUUUUGAAGAGCUACCUGUAGACCCGGAAGAAGAAGUAGACCUCGACGAUUUCGAUGAAUCGAUUCUUAAUGACAUUGGUAUUCUUCAAGAAAACGCAUUAGAAUACGUAAGUGGCUACCUUAUAAGAAAAUUAAAUCUUGUAGGAUACCAGAGUCAUCUAGAAUCGUUAACUUGAUCAACCAAGUGUCGAAGGGCUCCUUGAAAAAGCCAAAUAAAAAAACUAGAAAUUGUGUUCGAAAAAGUCAACGGAAAUGAAAUCUCCCACCAACCAAGGCUAAAUCAGCAUCUUCUUGAACAAAGCGUUCUUGUUAAUCUUCCAGACAAUGUAAAAAGAUUAUUCUUCAAAUGCCGAAUACAUUUUCGCGUGAGAAAUCUGAAAAAAAGAUUAAAUAUUCAAAAAGAAAAGCAGCGCACAGUGGGGUCCAAAAAUUUCUUAAAAUUAAAUUAUAAGAAUUUAUCUUUUUGAAUAUAUUUCGAACUAUCAUAUUGCAGCACAUUUUAACACGACACUGCAGUUAACGCAUAUUUUAAAAGCUUUGUUUUAAACUUUUGGAGUUUUGCUAGAACACUCCCGGAAACCUGAGGACGAUCACUCAGAUUGACACUACACCAAACUAGAGGCAAAUAAAUGAAAAAGGAGAGUAUUUUCAAUAUAUAUAUAUUAGGCUUCACGCGAUAUUUUUGAAAUUGUGAUAUCAUACCUUCUAUGAAAGUUUUUGGAUCAGUGACAAUAUUGGCGUAAUUAUUAUGUUAAAAUUCCAACUCCUUCAUUUGCAUAUCUGCGGCCAAAACACCGAUUUUGGGCGACGUUUUUUGAUAGAGCAAAAACUGCUGAAUAUAUUUCAAAUCUAACUUUAGUAUACAAUCUACAGGAAAAUUUAAGAUGUAUGAACUAAAUUUGACAGAAUUUGGAUGCACUAAAAAUGCAUAAGAGCAAUAGAAAAAAAUGCAAUUUUUUCAAAAAGAAAUUUCAAAACUUGAUUUUAUCAAUCGUAAAUAUAAUAUUCAAUGCCCUUAAAAAAUAGUGUUAAAAAAUUAUAUUCAUUGAAUCGGUUUAGAAGUUAUGAUGUUAAUAAUGUUAAUUUGUGGGUUAAUAAUUUCCCAUCUAACAAUGGUUUCUUCAUCAUCACCUCCAAAUUUAAUAUAAUUCCACCAAAUUAAUGUUCCAUAUAUAACUUGUACAAUGACAAAUUUUGGGACUUAUAACUUUCGUAGUAUCAUCACAUCUAAAGGGUUAGUGAUAGAAUUUUUGUUUUUGCACCAUUUUUCUAAGCAAAAAGCAUACUUAAAUUAUGCGCAAAGAAAAAAAUAUUUUUAAUUUUUUUUGAAAAAAGUGCAUCUUUGGAUGAUCCUAUAUGCACUUUUGGAGCGUUAUUAAAGUGUGAAAUUAAGCUCAUUCUUCUUCAUUUUUCCUAUAAAAUCAAUGAUUAAAGCAUGAUUUCCAAUCUAUUCUGCAGUUUCUGCUCUGGAAAAAAUGUCGCUCAAAAUCAAUGGUUUCAGCCACAGAUAUGCAGAUGAAGGAGUUGGAAAAUUAUUACAGCAUUGUGAUCACUGAUACAAAAACCUUCUAAAAAGGUAUGAUAUCACAAAAUCGAGAAACAUUUUGUUUUUUGAAACAAAGCCUAAUAUAUAUAUAUAUAUAUAUAUAUAUAUAAAAUCAAUGAUUAAAGCAUGAUUUCCAAUCUAUUCUGCAGUUUCUGCUCUGGAAAAAUGUCGCUCAAAAUCAAUGGUUUCAGCCACAGAUAUGCAGAUGAAGGAGUUGGAAAAUUAUUACAGCAUUGUGAUCACUGAUACAAAAACCUUCUAAAAAGAUUUUCUAACUUGUCGACCUACAUACAUACAUAUGGGAAUGGCGAAUGUAUUUACAUCAAUCAACAAACGAGAGACAAAAGCAAAUUGCUGUUAAGUAUUUA